UAGAAGAGAUAAGGGAGAAAUUUUCAUCCAUCACAAGGAUCAAAUAAUGCUAGUUGGACAGGCACAAAAACAGAUUAGAAAACAGGGUUUCAAAAAAGUGACAUGUCCAUGAAAUUUGGAGGAAAGGAAACAAAUAAAAGACUAUAGCACUCCCAUUCCUCUUUCUUAGAGCACCGACGUUGGGGAAAAUUUUUGCAAUUACAACCAUUUUGACAAUAAUCGAAAAUUUGAAGGUGCCGACAAGUAGGUUUGAACUCUGGUAACGUCGUGGGAAACCCAAAACACAGCAGCACUCCCACUUCACUUUCUUUGAGCAUCGACAUUGGGGAAAAUUUUUGCAAUUACAACCAUUUUGACGAUACCAGAAAUUUGAAGUAAGAUAGAGUAUGAACGAUGUUGAAGACAAGCACGACGAUGUUUUGGAGCCAUUAGAGAAUGAGAAUGUUACGGAGUUCGUGAGCGAAGUUGGUGGUGAAACAUUAAGGGGAUGGUGUAAUUGUACACGAAGUGGGAAUAUUAUUCAAAAAUGAACAAGAUAUGUAUUAUUUCUACAAAAAAUAUGCUUGUACAAUAGGUUUUCUAGUUAAGAAAAGGAGUUUGAAAAAGGGGGAGGAUGGAGUUUUAAGAUAUUUGACGUUGACAUGUAGCCGUGAAGGUGGAAGCAUCGAUAAUAGUAGCGAUUCUUUGAAGCCGCAUCCAAUAGUGAAGAUGGGUUGUAAAGCUACAAUAUAUGCAUCUUGCAAUGUUCUAGAAAACUAGAGAAUUUGCAGUAAACCUCAAACACAAUCAUGAUACAAGUCCUUCUAAAUCCCAGUUAUAUCGAUGCAAUAGACAAUUGAGUGCAGCUGUGAAAUGAAUGCUUCGGGUGAAUGAUUUGGCAAGAAUUGCGCUGCAUAAAAGUUACAACUCCGUAGUUGUAGAAGCAAUUGGAUAUGAGAACAUGACUUGUAUUGAAAGUUAUUAUUGGAACUAUGUAGAACGCGUGAGGCGAUUACGAAUUUAGAGAAGAUGUUGCAGCAAUUCAAUCCUACUUUUCCAAAAUGCAAGCACAAUAUUCGGGAUUUUAUUUUAAUAUUGAUUUGGACGAGGAGUCGUGGUUGAGAAGUGUGUUUAGCAGAUAAUCAGUAUAGGUAAGCAUACAAGGAGUUUGGUGAUGUUGUUUCAUUUGAUACUACUUAUCUUCCUAAUAAGUACAACAUGUUGUUCGCUCUUUUUGUUAGUGUAAAUCAUCACGAACAAUCGAUAGUGCUGGGUUGUGGUUUGGUGUCGAAUGAAGAUACAAAUACUUUUGUAUGGUUGUUCAAAACAUGGUUUCAGUGCAUGCACAGUCAAACUCCACAUGGUAUAAUUAUCGAUCAAGACAGGGCAAUGCAAUAUGUAAUUUAGAUUGUAUUUCCAAAUACCAAACAUAGAUGAUGUUUGUACCACAUUUUGAAGAAGUUGUCGGAGAAUUUUGGCUACCACAUGGAUAAGCAUUCGAUAGUAUAUGAUUUACAGUCCAGUGAAGAAUUCAAAGAUGAUUGGAGAAUAAUGAUUGAUAUGUAUAGAUUGCAUGAGAAUGAUGGCUAUCGGGAUUGUACGAGAAUAAAGGAUGUUGGGUUCCUUGCUUCUUGAAAAUCACUUUUUGGGCUGGGAUGUUAACUACACAGAGAAGUGAGAGUAUGAAUACGUUCUUCAAUGGCUAUGUUCAUUUAAAAAUAAGGUUGAGAAAGAGGUCCAAGCUGAUUUCAGGUCCUUUUCACAAAUGAUGCCAUGUACAACACAAUUUGAAAUGGAGCAAUAAUUUCAAUCAGUUUACAUCAUUUCGAAAUUUCAUGAAGUUCAAGAAGACUUCACAGGAAAGGUGUACUGCGACGAGUUGUCUACUUCGGACGAAUGUUUUUGUGCGACCUAUAAAGUAAGAGAGACAGUAAUGUACGAGGGUUCUAGAAAGAGAAAGACAUUUAUCGUGUCAUUCGCGAGAAAUAAAUGUGAUAUUGUUUGCACCUGUUAUUUGUUUGAGUUUUGGGGAAUACUUGUAGACAUGCGAUCAUAGUGCUAGUAUGGAAUGACGUGACACAUAUUCCAGAAAGGUACAUACUGCGAAGGUAAAGGAGAGAUGUUCAAAGAACACACACGAGGGUCACGAUAAACUAUGACGGGUUAGUUAGCACUCUUGCAUAAUUGAGUAUGAAUGUCUAACAAUUUUGUGUAGGUGGCAAACCUCUCAGCAAAUGAUGAAAUGUGUUCAAGUUCAAUCAUGGAGUGGAUAAAAUUUCUAUGUAAAGAGCUUACGACCACAAAAUCGAGCGCAGGAAGUAAUCUCAUUUCACAAAAUACUAUGUGUGUUAACACUCAAUGCAUUGAUUUAUCAAAUACUGUGAGCGUCAACAUAAAACACCCCUCUAGAAACAAUAUUCCAUGUUCACACCAAUGCCAUUCUCACUUUCACAGUUUUUCAUCCCCACACCAUUCUCCCUCUCACAACAUGUCUCACAAAGUACAAUUUGAUCAAUCCGUCGUCAGCGAACUUUAUGUAUAUUUCGCAAGGUCAAUAUGUGCCGUUAUACUAUCCAAGCUUACCGGAUGAAGAUGACCGAGGCAUUUGAUGGUGGUUAUUCCAUUUGUAACUCUUCCAUGAAGUUAUUACAUUUGAUUGUGGUUUGCAGGAAGUAGUUAUGUUUAUGCAUUAGUAUUAGCCAUUUUAAAUAUCUUGAAAUAUUCAGAACCAUAUGUGUAUUAAUUUCUGUAUUGAGAGACAUCAAAUAAAUUUGUAACUCUUCUCUUCGACGUUUGGUAAUUGCAUGAUGACUUUCUAUUAGA